AAAGCUCGUAGUUGAAUUUCGGGAUCAAUAUUUCGGUCAUGCCGUUGGUAUGCACUGUUAUCAUUGAUUUCUCACCUUCUAAAGAACCGUAAUGCCAUUAAUUUGGUGUUACGGGGAAUUAGGACUGUUACCUUGAAAAAAUUAGAGUGUUUAAAGCAGGCUCACGCUUGAAUACAUUAGCAUGGAAUAAUGAAAUAGGACAUCCGAUUCUAUUUUGUUGGUUUCUAGGAUCGAUGUAAUGAUUAAUAGGGAUAGUUGGGGGCAUUAGUAUUCAAUUGUCAGAGGUGAAAUUCUUGGAUUUAUUGAAGACUAACUACUGCGAAAGCAUUUGCCAAGGAUGUUUUCAUUAAUCAAGAACGAAAGUUAGGGGAUCGAAGACGAUCAGAUACCGUCGUAGUCUUAACCAUAAACUAUGCCGACUAGGGAUCGGAUGAUGUUAAUUUUUUAAUGACUCAUUCGGCACCUU
rnacentral:rRNA from 1 species